rnacentral:rRNA from 1 species
GGACGAACGCUGGCGGCGUGCCUAACCCAUGCAAGUUGAGCGACGAACCAGGGCUUGCCCUGGGGCAACGCAGCGAACGGGUGAGUAACACGUGGGUAACCUACCCCGAUAACCGGGACAACCCGAGGAAACUCGGGCUAAUACCGGAUGUGCUCACUGGACUUCGGUUCAGUGCGUAAAGGAAGCUUCGGCCUCCGUAUCGGGAGGGGCCCGCGGCCCAUUAGUUUGUUGGUGAGGUAACGGCUCACCAAGACCGCGAUGGGUAGCUGGUCUGAGAGGACGAUCAGCCACACUGGGACUGAGACACGGCCCAGACUCCUACGGGAGGCAGCAGUGGGGAAUCUUGCGCAAUGCGCGAAAGCGUGACGCAGCAACGCCGCGUGGGGGAAGAAGGCCUUCGGGUUGUAAACCCCUUUCAGGAGGGACGAAGGUUCGGCGGUGAAUAGCCGUCCGGACUGACGGUACCUCCACAAGAAGCCCCGGCUAACUACGUG